UUUUCAUGCACACGUACGUUAACCAACACGAUUCAUGCCCACCUCGCUCACGAACCACCGCCGCCGCCACCACCUCCGGCAACGACGGACAUCACUCGAUAGAAUACGGUCACGAGCACCGUCGUUGGCAAGCUCAACGCGACCACCGCCACGCACGCCAAGCCCACACAGGGCCGAGAGCUCAGCAACCACCUCUGCACCAUCCCCAUGAGUUCACAAACAUCUAAUCGGUAUCUCUCGUGGUAUUGCUUCUCCCACCCCAUCCACUCCGACGGCGCC
rnacentral:lncRNA from 1 species